UGCUAGUCACCCCCUCGCAUGU
rnacentral:piRNA from 1 species